rnacentral:rRNA from 1 species
CCUACGGGCGGCAGCAGUGGGGAAUAUUGCACAAUGGGCGCAAGCCUGAUGCAGCCAUGCCGCGUGUGUGAAGAAGGCCUUCGGGUUGUAAAGCACUUUCAGCGGGGAGGAAGGCGUUAAGGUUAAUAACCUUGGCGAUUGACGUUACCCGCAGAAGAAGCACCGGCUAACUCCGUGCCAGCAGCCGCGGUAAUACGGAGGGUGCAAGCGUUAAUCGGAAUUUCUGGGCGUAAAGCGCACGCAGGCGGUCUGGCAAGUCGGAUGUGAAAUCCCCGGGCUCAACCUGGGAACUGCAUUCGAAACUGGCAGGCUAGAGUCUUGUAGAGGGGGGUAGAAUUCCAGGUGUAGCGGUGAAAUGCGUAGAGAUCUGGAGGAAUACCGGUGGCGAAGGCGGCCCCCUGGACAAAGACUGACGCUCAGGUGCGAAAGCGUGGGGAGCAAACAGGAUUAGAUACCCCUGUAGUC